GACGAACGCUGGCGGCGUGCCUAAUACAUGCAAGUCGAACGCUGAAGGAGGAGCUUGCUUCUCUGGAUGAGUUGCGAACGGGUGAGUAACGCGUAGGUAACCUGCCUGGUAGCGGGGGAUAACUAUUGGAAACGAUAGCUAAUACCGCAUAAGAGUAGAUGUUGCAUGACAUUUGCUUAAAAGGUGCAAUUGCAUCACUACCAGAUGGACCUGCGUUGUAUUAGCUAGUUGGUGGGGUAACGGCUCACCAAGGCGACGAUACAUAGCCGACCUGAGAGGGGGGUCGGCCACACUGGGACUGAGACACGGCCCAGACUCCUACGGGAGGCAGCAGGAGGGAAUCUUCGGCAAUUGACGGAAGUCUGACCGAGCAACGCCGCGUGAGUGAAGAAGGUUUUCGGAUCGUAAAGCUCUGUUGUAAGAGAAGAACGAGUGUGAGAGUGGAAAGUUCACACUGUGACGGUAUCUUACCAGAAAGGGACGGCUAACUACGUG
rnacentral:rRNA from 1 species